UUUCACAGAGGGUUCGCAGGUUUUGAGUUGGGACAACCUGGGUACACACAACUGAUUUACCUGGAGGAAAAAAUUGUACAGGAUUCUGACGGGCAGAGGACAAAUGUAGAAGUGAAGACAGACAAGACUAACAAUGCUGAAAUUUUUGACAGACUUCUGGCAAAUACUACUGAAAUUUGAGUCUUCAAACAGAGAAACAUCAUGGAAUUUCUCAGAUGGAAAACAGAGCACCCUCUGCAAACUGAGAUUAGCAGAAAGGGGCAUCCUUUACAG